CGGCGGCUGCCCCCGCGCGGCCCUGGUCGGUCCCGCCUACCUCCACCCACCCCCCGCCCGAGCGGCCCUGAGUCACCGGCUGGAGAUGCGCGACCCCGGCCCGGGCCCGCGCCGCGAAGCUGCGGUUCUGGGCUGCGCUCCGAACUGCGCUCUGGCGCGGGGCUUAAGCCUGGGAUUCCGAGCCGCGCGAGGGCCGGCCCCGAGGAGGGAUUGGAAGCUGGUGCGCUUGACAUUCGAGGAGAGCGAAGGGGACUCGACUCUGCUUCACAGCCAGCGAAAGAGGAAUGGGGGUACAACCCCUCCACAUCUUCCAUUGGCCUGGGGCUCCCAGCUUUCAUAAGGCUUCCCUCCAGACCCUUCCCCUGUCCCCUGGGCAACCGUGAGAUAUCAUUACCACUAUUUCACCAGGAAGAAAGGACGCCAGAGAGGCUGGAAGAUUGGCCAGAGGCCACGCGACUAAUUAGUGGUCAGAGCCCAGUCUAGAAGCCGUCUCUCCGUUUGCACUUUCCACGAAGUGCGAACACCGUGGUGAGACAGGACACAGACAUCACUGAGAUUUUGCCCCAGGCCUGGAGGCAUUGAGAAUCCCGGGUGGAAUGCUCUUGUCCAGAGCAGAAGGAAAGAAAGAUCAUCGGUGCAACUGCAGUGCCCGCCUCCUGACUCAGAAAACUAACCACGAGGACACAUACACAAGUCCAAAAAUGGCCCUACCAAGAAUAUGACCCUGGAAAGAGAAUGUACAAAGAGAGUCCCACAAAGAGUAGCAGGGAGUCUGAGGCCCAAGCCACGCAGCAGUCAGGGACAACAGGAGGCUCUCAGGUCAACCAGGUGGAAAGACUUGGGCAAUGGCCCUCUGCUGCCAUAGGCUGCCUCCCUCAGCCCAGCCUGGCCUGUGCAUGUCUAGUUGCCUUUGGUCUUGAGAAAACCAGAAAUUUGACGUAGGCGGAGGCUAAGUGAUGGGCCGGAAGCCACAGCACACUGGGAAGGGCUGGGAGCUAGCACCUGCCACCUCAGCUACAGCCCGUGGUCUUCCAGAUCUGGAUCCAAAAUAGGAAUGGGUUCCAGCAGAACCCUAGAAUCAAAGCAACACCUAAGAGACUUGGUGUUGCCCAACACGCACUGAACUUGGAAAACAAGAGUGAUAAUGAUAGCUGCAGUUCACUGGGUACCCACCAGGUGCCGGCUCCUCACACACGUGAUCUCUGGAGCACCCACAACCCGCAUGCCGGGACUUGGUGACACUCCCGAUUGCCAAAGGGCCAUACAGCAGUUUCUCCCUUGUGGCAUUACUCUCCGGCAUGGUCCCCGUCUCUUUGAAAGCGGGCAAAGCCAGCACUCAGGCACUGCUGCUGGCUGCUGGGGCAAGGGGCUUGUGCAGGAGAUUGCUCAGCAGGGCUAUGAAGAACAGACCCCAGAGAGGCCGAACAACGAUGACCAUCCUGCCCCACCAGCGCGCGCCUGCCCACCCCUUCCGAGCCUGUGCUGAGCGGCCUGGAGAGGCCGAGUGCAGGGCCCCAGCUGCGUCCAUUCUCGCCAGCAUACCCAGUAUCCUUGAGACUCAGUGGGCUUAGAAGCCUCUUGCCCUGUCUGCAGCUGCAUCGGGGACUCAGACGGUGGGCGAGGGAGACUGGUUAGACCCCUGUGUCUGCUCUAAGCAGGAAAGGAGGCAGAGACAAGGGACAGAACGUGUGUGACCACGCAACAGGCACGGUGCCGAAGCCUGAUCACAGAAAACUCACAAUGACCCCACGAGGAAGGCGGGACCCUCUUCGGGCCGGUGCCUUCGGAGGUCACCCAGCGAUCAGUGGCACAUGUGCUGCCCACUGCCAGCUGGCCACACUCAAGGCACCGCUGUACCUGAGGGAAUAUUAUUUCUAAGUCUCCAUAAACCAUCAAGGAGAGGACUUGGCUGUUUGAGAGGAACUCCAUCAUCAUUCUCCUGUUUGGCUUUUCACUGUGUUUUCUGCCACUGGACCGUAAGCUGCACGAGGGCAGGAGUCCUCGUCCUGUUCACCAUGGUCUCCCCAGCCCUUAGAACAGCGCUUGGCACGUAGCCGCACAUACACGCUCAUUAAGUAUGGGUUGAUGGGGGGGAGGGACGUAGUAGCUGGAUGCAGCCUGCAGUUCUCUCUUGAGUCCGGCACCUGAGAGACGAUGCAGGACUAGAGCCCAGAGAAAGGAAGCGACUUGGCUGGGGUCAGUGCGGGCCAGCGGAGUGAGUAACCUGGGCUGCCCAACAGGGCUUCCUCGGGAGUGCUGCCCCACCCUGCAAUCACGGUGACGGGGGCCGAACGCUGCUGCGCCGGGAUGGAGGGGUGAGAGGUCCUCUGUGUUUCCAUCAGAAGCUGGGAGGAAUGACCCAGGUUCUGGGGGUUAACUGCAGGAACUCCAAAUAUUAUUACUGAUCAUGGAAUGAGCCAGCUGUUGCAUGUGGGAAUAAUAAGAUUGCAGAGGCUGAGGGCUAAUUAGAAAUGUGUCAGAUGCUUUUUCUUAACAGCAAGGAAUUUCUACAAAGGAGAGAUGCAUAAGUAAAGCCAGUUGGUCAGCAGAAUUGGUCUCUGGGGCAGAGCCCUUUCCAAGGCUUCCCUGACCUUCCCCAUCUCUUAUCACGUUCUCCUUCAGUCCUUCUCUCUCUGCACGGCUUCCGGGGAGAUGAGUGGCAAAGGUCCUCAGAGCAGAACAGAUGGCCCCAAAUGCCAGGGCAGUCCUUGUCACAUGCCCGUCUCUCACCCUUGAAUGGGAAUUCCUCUGAGCAGGGCCUGGCAGCCUUCUUUUGUGUCACCAGUUUCUAGCACAGUAUUUGGGCAUCACGGCAGCACUCCCUGAAUAUUUGUGCAGUGAGCGAAGGAGUGAAUAAAUACCUAGGGUGGCCGGCUGCUGCUACUCCCCCUUCUGUCGCACGAAAUUGCAAUAAGCCUGCUCCACGGGAUUCAAAAAUGAACAAAAGCUGGUCACAGCUUCUAAGGAGCCCAGUAACUGACCAUGGGGAGAUACACAUAGAUCGUCACAAGACGAUAUAAUGGAACUCUAUAGAAGCCCAAAGGGGAUUUCUUCAAGUAAGAAGUCAUCUGAGAGCUGUGUUCAAGGACAGGCAGGUAGGCAAGAGGUGGAAGAGCAUUCUGGGAAGAGGAAGAGGCAAACAAAGGGCGCUAAGAUGUGCAAGUGAAUGGCAGCACAGGAAAUUGUGAGGGGGUUGGGUAUACAGGGGAGGGGGUGGUGAUGGCAAUGAGGUUAGAGGGGUAGGCGUUGACCAGUUAACAGACAGACGUCUUCCAGGUCUUUAUAGGAAAUUUGAACUUACUCUGGUAAGCUGUGGGGAACCAUCCAAGAUUCUAAAACAGGGAGUGACAUGAUCAGGUAUACAUUUUAGUGAGGAGGCUGGAGACUAGUGGCACAGGAUCACAAUGAUACUGCAAUAGUCCAAGCAAGCAGUGCUGUGGCCUGGACUAGGGCAGAAACCCUGGAGGAGAGACUCAAAGGAUUUGGAGAUCAGCUAGAAGUGGGGAUAGAGAAAGAAAUUAAGAACAGCAUGUACAUUUCUAGUGUAGGAGCCAAGUGCUUUGGUGUAAGGUAACCAACCAUUAACUGAAAUGGGCAGUGUGGGAGGAGCAGAUUUGGGAGGUAUGUUCAACUGAACUUGAUUUCUCUGUGGUCUGUCCAGAAAGGCAGCCGUAAAUCCGGGUCUGGUGCUUAGGAAGAAGAGUGAAAGAAGCUGGUCACGUAGAGAGGAGAAAGCCAGAAACACAACUGGGGCAUUGCUGGGUGGCUGCCCAUGUGCCCGGCACCUAGGCAUAGGAGAGGACCAUGUGCGUGAGAUUAGGACUUCUGGAUCCCUCGGGUGAAAAUGAUGCCACGGAGAACUGGCAGUUUUUUCUGCUUCCGUUGGAUCCCCUGUUUCAAGACCCCGGGCCCAAGCUCUUGGGAAUGCUCAUUUCUUUUUCAAGAACCCCAUCACCUGGUGGAUAUUAGGAUGGACCCCUAGACUUAGGGCUGGAACAAAAUUUGGCUCAGAGAUUACGCAGUUAAGACCAGAGAGAAUUUGAAGUGAAAAAGCCCUGCUCCUGCAGCUUCUUUGGUCUAAUUGUGCCUGCUGUUGAUACCUCCAUUUUCCCUGGGAAACUGGGGGUGGGGAGGGAGUGGGGGGUGGAAAUUAAGGGAAUGUUCCUGGGAUUGGUACAUAUUUUGAAGCUCUCAGCAAGGCUGAAAAUAUCCAUCGAUAUAUUUUGAAGUGUAAUUUCCACUCCCUUACCAGCCAAAAUAAUUGAACAGGAAGAAAAAGCUGUUAAUGCAGGAGGCGUGUAACAUCAGAUCCACAUUGCCUGGAAAUUUACCAUUUCAAAGCAAUUGAGGGUUUUUACUGCCAGUGUUUACAGUCAUACAUGUCCCCUCUCUCUGAAGCCAUCAAAAGGCCCAUCAAUCUGGCUUGGACACUGAAAUCGUUCACAAUGUCUGGAGCGAAUGUCAAAGCAGAGAGUCUUUUUAAAAAUUAUGCUGCCCUUUUGUCAGCACAUACAUCUUGGGGCGUCUCUUCCUGGGAGGCGGGGUAAACAGUAGGACUGUCUGUGCUCAUGGAUCCAGUGGUGCCAGAGCGCCAUAGUGGCAUGGCCAGGCACACCUCCGCACGCCCCUUGGCGUCUCUGACCUGGGGUCCGUGCACGGGCUGUCCUCUUAUUCGACUCUGGGUGGGCAGGCCUCCCUCUUGCCCAACAAAAAGUGCCUGCCUCUGCCUCUGCCUCCAGCUCGAUGACACGAGGUCCGAGGGAUGUAGGUUCCUCAGUAGAGGAGCCAGGUCAUGCUGCCCCUCACAGCCUCUGCCCAGCUCAGCGGGACAGACAGCGGACAGUAGACUUUGCAGACUUUUGUUUUCUGUCUGCUGCCAAUGCCUCUGUGUGUGUGUGUGUGUGUGUGUGUACACGUGCAUGCACAUAUGCGUGCUAUUUUUCAGUGUGAAAUUUGACUUUGGGGUUUUCCCGGAAAUGACCGAUUUCUUUCCCUAUAUUUGUGUCCAAUAGAGGAAAUUUCUAAAUCCGUGCCCCACCAUUUGUCUUUCAUUUCGGAAUCCGUAUCUUUCCAGAGGCCACUACCUAAAAAGUGCCAUUAGCUCACUUGGUGACCCUGGAGAAGUCACUUUCUGGGCCUCUUCUCAUGUUUGAAGUGAGGCUUUGGUACAAAGGGUCUUGGAAGGUCCUUUCUAGUGCUAGCAUUUUAAGACUCUAUUAUUAUUUUUUAAUGUGUAUGUACUUUUGAGAGAGACAGAGCAUGAGUGGGGGAGGGGUAGAGAGAAAGGGAGACAGAGGAUCUGAAGCAGGCUCCAGGCUCCGAGCGAGACCAUGACCUGAGCCGAUGUCAGAUGCUUACCCGACUGAGCCACCCAGGCGCCCCAGUUAUUUGAAUAUUUUAAACCAUUCCAGCCCCAGCAAGAAUUAUUGGCCAUAAACCGAGAUACAAUUUUCUUUAUUAUCGUUUAGUCCCUCCACACACAUUACAUACAUAUACAUCCAGUUUCAAAUGUUCCAUUGGAUCAAAAAUCUAAAAACUACUAGAUUAACAGCAGACCUAAAAAGGAGAAGUUAGAAGAAUGUGCAAGAAAUUGGAACAUCCAGGAUGCCCGAAGAGGGAACUUCGGAACAGAAGUGGGAGACUUUUCAUCACACGUUCUUUUGUAUCUUUUGCAUUUUUUGCCACAUGCAUUUAUUACCUCUUCAGUUUUAACAUUUUUUUUUAAAGCAAGAGUCUUCCUUUCUCUUUCUUCUACCACAGGCCUCUUUGCAGCUUAGUUCCUGGGCGUAGAGGAGACCAUGACGGACCGGCGUCAUGCCCUGGAAGGGCCACCCCUCAGCCCAGGCCCUGCCCAACACCAAGUCCCAGCCCUCCAGCUGGGUUGGCCGACGGCCCUGCCCCCCCGGCUGCCCCAUGCGCGUGGAAGGGCUCUGUGGGUGCGCACCACAGCUGGCUGCCCUUGCUGCCGCCACUCUGGCUGGGCUGUCGGGCUGGUAUAGGGACUCCAUUCAAGGGGUUCCAGUAAGGGGCUGGCUCUCAUGGCUCCAGCAGCCUGAUGCGCAAAGGGGCCCAAGAGUCCAGUAAACGGGGAAGUGCAAGAACCCAGCUUUAAAUUCUCCAGCUCUUGCCAUUCCCUUUCAAAGACAGACUGCUUUUUGUUUUGUUUUCUGCCGAUAGAACAUGAGGGCAGGAACAUGAAAGGAAAAAGAACAAAAGGACCAGAGAUGCACGGGGAGAAGGGUCUUUAAGGCUCCCCUUUCUCCUGGCCCCACCCUCAUGCUGCUGGCCUCUGCUUGGCAGAGCUGGCCUCUCUCACUGGUCUCGCUCCCCUGGCUUUCUCCCCUAGUGUAGCUCCUGCUCAGCUUUCCCUUGUGACGUCUAGCUACCACCCGGCCUUCUUCUUCUAUCUCCUGUUCUUACCACCUUCGAUGGGUGCAGGCCGUCACUCCUGUGUCCCCUACCUCCCCUCUUCUGACUUACCUAUUUCACUGCCACGCUGCCCAGCAACGGCCACCAUCUUUGAGGUCCACUACCCAGACUGGCGGUGUCACCUGCCCCAUAACUGGGAUUGCUCAAGGUAGGCUCCUCCACCGUCCAUUCAAAAUCCCUGCACCCAACUUCUCUCCGGGGUCAACGAAGCCCUGGUGAGGGCAGGCUGUCGGCCAGCAGGCCACGGGAAGGUGCAGGCAAGGGGACAAUGGAGAAGCCAUGGCAGAGUCAGACAAGAGCAGCAGAUGGAGACGUGCACUUGACAGAGUGGACACAGAGAUGAAAAGAUACAGAGUAUGAGGAAAAACAGCUUCAGGGAAGGAAAAAGCAGAGAGCGAAAACCAAUAAAAGUGUAACGAAUACCAAAACCAGACAGGCCUGAAAAGAAACCACCAGGAGAACUGUGAGAAGAAUCAGGUCAGAGAGGAGGAGCAGGAGGGCUGGGAGGGGGCAGUAUGUGAGGGGCAGGAGGCAGGAGGAAUGGUGCAACAGAAAUCUCUCGGGAAGGCUCGUUCACCACCCAAGCUGUUGGGCUUAUUGGCUGCAGCGAGCGAGCAGAAUCUAUUUAAGACACAGCAGGCAUUUUGCCUCGGUCUGUUUCCCUGUCCAGGAAAGGCUGGAGCCAAAGGCUCCGGGAACCACUCCGGCAUUAGGACCCUGCAUGACGACAGAGCUGAGACCAUGAGAUCCUUGCCCCCUCUGGGAAUCAGCCCCCUCUCCCCUGACACAAGCUGCCAGGCCCCCUAAAUGCACAGCAUAUUGAUCCAUGUCCCAAAGGCUGCUUGUGUGCUCCGCUUCCACUGGGAAAGUCUCAAUGACUUCCUUCAUUCUGUCUUCAAGCUUGUCAGAAAGCAGAUGCGGCUCAACUGUGACAGCUGCUCUAACGGGCUGCUCCCAGGGAGCUCCCUGACCAGUGGGAACAGUCGCAAUGGGGACUGAAGAGGCCUUGGGUGACUGGAUAGCAGCAAGACAAAGAAGAGAGCACCAAAGGAUGUCAAAGAUAAAAUGGCCCCAGGGAAACCAUAUGGGACUUGAAUUGGAAAGCACCAACAGCCUCGCUCCUUUCCCUGGACUGUGUAUCUUUGGGAAGCUCUAAUCCGGGGAAGACCUGACUUCUCACCCACCUGCCACAGAGGAAUACAAAAUAAGGCUGGGAGCUAAAACUGGCUAAGGAAAGCCAUCCAUCCAUCAAGCUUUGGUUUCUCUCCAAUUGAGAGGGUUGGGAACGAGAAGUCUUCCCUCCCUGGCUCUUGCGCCCGUAAAUUGUGUAAAAUACUGUUCCAGGCUGAAUAUAAGUUCUCUGCUCUGCAUGACAUUUAUAUUCUUGAAAAAUUUAGUGUACAAAUCAAGUCACAUUUUGCCUGCCAGAGAAGCUGGCUUUUCAAAAUAAAUCUGAGGUCAAUCCUA